GGAAGAAGCUCUCAAACCAGCUCCACCU
rnacentral:piRNA from 1 species